GUUGAUAUACUUUAUAGGAAACCUUCUAUAGGCGAUUGCCCGGGUUUUUUCGCCAAGAUUUGGAAUAUUUCCCCCCACGAUGAGGAUUUUUUAGUGAACCUCGGGGCGGGAAGCGGCUCUCAAGUGUUUGCUUGAGAGUUUGAUGACCGUUCUGCCCGGGGGUUUUCCGAUGUUUAGAGGAGGGUAAAACAGGCUGAGUGGU